rnacentral:rRNA from 1 species
UACGUAGGGUGCGAGCGUUAAUCGGAAUUACUGGGCGUAAAGCGUGCGCAGGCGGUUUUGUAAGCCAGAUGUGAAAUCCCCGGGCUUAACCUGGGAAUGGCAUUUGGGACUGCAAGGCUGGAGUGCGGCAGAGGAGACUGGAAUUCCUGGUGUAGCAGUGAAAUGCGUAGAUAUCAGGAGGAACACCGAUGGCGAAGGCAGGUCUCUGGGCUGACACUGAUGCUCAUGCACGAAAGCGUGGGGAGCAAACAGG